CAGAAUCACUGAUUUUUAUGUGAUCCCUUCUCAGCUGCUGAUAAAGAAGGGGAGACGAGGCAAAUAUGGGAAAAUUUCAACUAGAUGAUGAAGAAAAAUGAUAGCACUCCAGUGCUAUAAAGGAGACAUAUUUCUAAAAGUAAAGAAGUUUACAUGCACCUACACAAAUAUGCAGAUAAGGGAAGAUCAAAAGAUUUUGCCUCGCACGCUAACAGAAGGUACAAAGGUCUGCCAAAGGCUCAUUAAUCCAUGGCUGAUCCUGAGGUUUCCAACUUAUCCUCUGUUGCUUUGUCAUAUGAAGCCUUACACAGGGCACUUGGAGUGCAGAAGGAGUAUGCCCUGGAUGCCAGCCAAAUGAAAGAAGACAGCUGAGGGGUAAGUGCUAAUGCUCCUGAGGGCUGUGGGAUCUGAAAAUAGACGGAAAAUAAUU
rnacentral:lncRNA from 1 species